GCCAUUGACCCCCAACUCAGCUCGGUGCGCUAUCAAUCCUUUGAUAGCGCACUAGACCUGGUCAGGAGGGCGGGUCAUGGUGCUCUAUUGGCGAAACUAGACAUUGAGUCGGCAUUUAGGCUUCUUCCACUCCACCCCUCAGUUUUCCAUCUAAUGGGUUGUAAGUUUGCAGGUGUGUACUACGUGGAUCGCUGCCUGCCCAUGGGCUGCUCUUUGUCAUGCGCCUUGUUUGAAGCGUUCAGUAGUUUCCUUCAUUGGGUCGUAGCUUCAGAAGUGGGCAGCGAUCCCAUAGCACACUACCUGGACGAUUUUCUCAUUGUAGGGAGAGCAGGCUCCGAUGAUUGUUUAUCCACAAUGAACAUCAUGCGCAGCGUCAUGAGACAUUUCGGGGUGCCCCUGGCAGAGGACAAAACGCAAGGCCCCGCGUCCUGUUUAGUUUUCCUGGGAAUCGAAAUCGACACCCAGGCUCGGCUCUGUAGGUUGCCACCUGAUAAAGUUCAGGGCAUGCUUGAGGCGGUCAGAGCGGCAGUCUCUAAUGCAGUUAUUUCCCUGAAACAGUUACAAUCCCUGUUAGGUUUGCUUAAUUUCGCUUGCAGAGUUAUCCCCAUGGGUCGGGUUUUUAACCGUAGACUGGAAAGACAGCUUAGUGGUAGGUCAAACCCGAAAUCAAAGAUAACCCUAGGGAGUGAAUUGCUGGCUGACCUAGUAGUCUGGGAACAGUUUCUCACGCGAUUUAACGGGAUUCGGGUCUGGCGUACCCCUCCCAUGUCUAGCCAGUUACUGCACCUUUUCACUGACGCAGCUGGAUCGCACGGUUACGGGGCCUAUUUCCAGGGAGAGUGGAGCGCGGAGCCCUGGCCGGAGUCCUGGGCCCCGGCGGGCCUUACUCGAAACCUGACUCUCCUGGAGCUAUUCCCCGUGGUCUUGGCGGUCGAGCUGUGGGGUGGGAAGUUGUCAAACAGGACUGUUGUGUUCUGGACAGACAACAUCAGUGUGGUUUUUGCGAUCAAUAACUUGUCAGCCACCUCAGCAAAGGUCAUUACCUUGCUGCGCCACCUGGUGUUGCGCUGUCUGGACCUUAACAUCCAGUUCCAGGCCCGUCAUGUCCCGGGCGUUAACAAUGUUGUAGCUGACGCCCUGUCACGAUUCGAAUGGGUGACAUUUCGCAAGUUAGCCCCCACAGCUGCAGCCGUGGGUUUACGCUGUCCUGAUUUCCUUUGGCAGCUCGUCCUUCCUGGAUAGCCUUACUGCCGUUGGUCCGCUCCUCCUUAGCACCAUCCACUUGGCACGCCUAUGCCCGCAUGUGGUCUGAAUGGGACAAUUUCUGUGCGUCCAGGGGAGCCGACGCUGCUCAGGGGUCUAGGGACAACUUACAUGAUUGGCUGGCACUACCCCCGGGGUGAAGCGAAUCUGGAUUGUGGGCCACUCCUUUGUCCACUGGGCCUCCCUACGCUGUGCGUCCCUCCCAUUUGGCCAAUCCCUAGGUCUCCCUCCCAACAAGGCAUCCGUUAGGUGGUUGGGUGAUAGGGGGAUGUGCUGGCCCCAAUUAGCAGGAACCAUAUCUGAGGCCCUGGUACGCUGGGGGAAGCCUCACAUUAUUAUUCUUCACCUAGGGGGUAACGAUGUGGGGGCCAUACCAGUUUUACAGUUGAUUAAGGUUAUGCAGGCAGACAUUGGGUGGCUAAGAGUACGCAUCCCGGGGGUCAUGAUAGGGUGGUCCCAUAUAAUACCCCGUCUCCACUGGAGGCAUAUGUCGGCCCAUACGGCGGCAUACCGGGUUAGGAAGAAGAUCAAUGCGUCUGUAGCGAAAACCGUCACUGGGUCAGGUGGCUUCGUGGUACGGCACGAAGCCAUUUCGGCUGAUAGAACCGAGCUAUAUAGAAGGGAUAAAGUUCACCUUUCAGAUGUGGGGCUGGAUUUAUUCAUAGGGGACAUUCAGAGAGCUCUGUUACCCCUCCUGUAAAUCGGGUCGUGGGUUGGCGGCAAGGGUACCAUUAAAAUGCUUCCUUGUGGCGGGAGAUCCUCGGUCCGGUUGCGCAGGAGAAGGUCGCUAGGGGUGAGUGAUGGCCAGACUUCCGGGGAGGGGGGUAGGCCCUCACGUGCACGUGACGGUAACCCUCCUUCCUCCCUUUUUGAGGGAUGGUCACGUGAUCUCUGCAACCCCUCAGCGUCAUCUCCUUAGGGCAGAGACCCCUCUGCUGCUGUUCCCGUUGGGCCGGUGAUCUCCUGCUGUUCUGGGUAGCUGAUCUCUAUGCCGCCAUAUAUAUUUUCAGUUCUAUCAGUUCUAUCUAGUUUGUUAGGUUAAUAAAAUUUUAUGGCCUGUGACGGUCACAAAAUUUUCCCAUAAAAAGUUUGUCUGUGGUUAUUUCGCACUACAUUCUCAUGUACAUAGUUAUUUAAUUAAGUUAUGUUAAAUCCUCUCCUCUGUGAAGAAGGAUCCGGUAAGCAUUUAAUCCCUUAAUGCAGUGUAGGGCUUAGUAUAAGCCUGGAGCAGUCUAAGGGUUAAGGCUGUAGGAGAGUGGGUUAGAAGAGAGAGGGAAGGUGCUGGGUGCAACAUUGUUGCAAUUUAGGGUAGGCCCCUCCUUACCAGUAGAUAAGCCAAGUUCUCCCUUGCAACUUCCUCUUCUUCUCCGGAUCCUGGCUGAAGCAGUUUUUUCCCCUCCCUCCCUUCCCCUUUUGUAAUGUUUUAAUGAUGUUGUAUUUUCGACGGCACCUUAAUGGCAGGGCUAUGGCUACUCACCCUAGGCCCAAUAAGCCAUUACUGUAGGAUAUGGAUCUCCUCUCCCUGUUAUGCGGUUUACACGGCUUGGUAACAGGGAAUCCUUAUCUAGGUGGAAGAUCUUCUUUUCACCCUGGCGGCGGGAGAUCCUCGGUCCGGUUGCGCAGGAGAAGGUCGCUAGGGGUGAGUGAUGGCCAGACUUCCGGGGAGGGGGGUAGGCCCUCACGUGCACGUGACGGUAACCCUCCUUCCUCCCUUUUUGAGGGAUGGUCACGUGAUCUCUGCAACCCCUCAGCGUCAUCUCCUUAGGGCAGAGACCCCUCUGCUGCUGUUCCCGUUGGGCCGGUGAUCUCCUGCUGUUCUGGGUAGCUGAUCUCUAUGCCGCCAUAUAUAUUUUCAGUUCUAUCAGUUCUAUCUAGUUUGUUAGGUUAAUAAAAUUUUAUGGCCUGUGACGGUCACAAAAUUUUCCCAUAAAAA